rnacentral:rRNA from 1 species
AAGGAAUGGGCAACGGUAGGUCCAGCAUGCCCCGAAUUAUCUGGGCUACACGCGGGCUACAAUGGGUGGGACAAUGGGUAAUCGACACCGAAAGGUGAAGGCCAAAUCUCCUAAACCCAUCCGUAGUUCGGAUUGUGGGCUGCAACUCGCCCACAUGAAGCUGGAAUCUGUAGUAAUCGUGUCUCAAAAUGGCACGGUGAAUAUGUCCCUGCUCCUU